rnacentral:rRNA from 1 species
AGCAGCCGCGGUAAUUCCAGCUCCAAUAGCGUAUAUUAAAGUUGUUGCAGUUAAAAAGCUCGUAGUUGAAUUUCGGAAUCUGUCCGUCGGUCGGGCUUAACUGUCCGUACUGGUGUGAUGGGUUCUUACCUUCUGAAUAACCAGCAUGCCAUUUAUUUGGUGCGUUGGGGAAGCAGGACUAUUACCUUGAAAAAAUUAGAGUGCUCAAAGCAGGCUAGUGCCUGAAUAUAUUAGCAUGGAAUAAUAAAAUAGGACGGCAUGGUUCUAUUUUGUUGGUUUCUAGGAUCACCGUAAUGAUUAAUAGGGAUAGUUGGGGGCAUUAGUAUUCAAUUGUCAGAGGUGAAAUUCUUGGAUUUAUUGAAGACUAACUUCUGCGAAAGCAUUUGCCAAGGAUGUUUUCAUUAAUCAAGAACGAAAGUUAGGGGAUCGAAGACGAUCAGAUACCGUCGUAGUCUUAACCAUAAACUAUGCCGACUAGGGAUCGGAUGAUGUUAAUUUUUAAUGA